AAACCUCGUAGAAGAAGAAGAAGAAGAAGAAGAAGAAAAAUCACGGCUCAUCCGGUCAUGGCUGCGCACAGAACCUGUCAAUGCUUGACGCUGUGGUCAAACGGCUCCCUGGCUGUGCAGCUGCUCCCUGCAGACCUCAGGAUCUUCCUUCAGCACAAACACUCAGCAUUCCAACUGUCUUUCAUUACAAGUUUGUUCAUUGUUUAGUCGGACCAGUGGUCAUGGACUAUUUGUUCUUGGUUCUACAACAACAGCUGGAGCAGCACAUCCCAGGACAGCAGUAACCCCUGCCUAAUGCUCACUUUCUAUAAGGCAUUGAGCAAUCCCCCAUGCAGCACUGGUGGCCAUUCCUCCAUCUGUGAGAAGAACUCCAAUGUCCCUGAGUCAAUUUAUUUCUCUGCAUGACAGAACAUUUAAGGGAGGUUCAUAGUGACAUGACAACGUGAAGACGAUACAUUCAGAAGGAGACAGAGGCUACCAUUAGCCUUCAUGUUACACACUUUUUGCUGUUACUAUGGCACACAUCUCCUUCAGCAUCUUGUUUGAGUCAUGGGACUCACAUGAUUGAAGCUCCUUAAAGCUCUGUUAUUUAUCAAAGCAGUCUGAAACUAUUUAGUUUGAGAGUCUGCUCACACAUGUGUUUGAUCAAUCGAAAUGAUCAGUCGAGCUCUUUGGUUUCAGGCUCCAAGUACCAGACUCUCAUAAUGGAAUUUGCAAACAGACUUUCGUAUGCCCCCCUGUAGCCGAUUACUGGAUAUAAACUCUUUGCGUUUCUGGGAGUUUUGUGGCAGAAUAUCCAAGGACUGCAUAGGGAAACUCAGAUCCUGCAUCUGAACACAUGCAUGGGUUGGGUUGCAUACAUGGCCUACAGUUCCUCGGGAGAGAGCUACUGCCUCAAGUAUCUCUGGGUCUUGUUCAUGACUCAGAGUAGAAUGGAGCGAGAGAUGGAUCGGCGGUUUGUGUGUGGCAUCUGCAGUGAUGGGGGUGCUGCACCAGACCAUUGUGGUGAAGAGGGAGCUGAGCCAAAAGGCAAAGCUUUCAGUUUACUGGUUCAUCUACGUCCCAACCCUCACCUAUGGUCAUGAGCUCUGGGUAGUGACCGAAUGAGGUUGUGGAUACAAGCUGCCGAAAUUAGUUUCCUCCGUGGGGUGGAUGGGCUCAGCCUUAGAGAUAGGGUAAGAACCACAGACAUCUGGAGCGAGCUCAGAGUAGAGCCGCUGCUCUCCCGCGGGGUCAGUUGAGGUGGUUCGGGCAUCUGAUCAGGAUGCCUCUUGGGCAUCUCCUAUUAGAGGUGUUUCGGGCAUGUUCCACUGGUAGGAGGCCCCAGGGCAGACCCAGAACACGCUGGAGGGAUUACAUAUCUCGUCUGGCCCGGGAACGCUUUUGGGUCCCCCAGGAGGAGCUGGAAAGCGUUGCUGGGGAGAGGGACGUCUGGGGUGCUUGGCUUGGCCUGCUGCCCCCGCGACCCGGCCCUGGAUAAAAAGAUGAAAAUGGAUGGAUGGAUGAUAAACAUAAAGAGACAUUACAAGAAAUGUAUGAUUUCAAAAUGGACUGACAAAAUGAAAUCUCCUAGAUAAUUUCAAUCAGAGAAAUCCAAAGAUAAUCCUGGCAACGUUUUGGGAUGGUUGGCCCAAAGGUUUCUGAAGAGUUCUCGUAAAUAAGAAAAUAGCCAAGCCAUAUUUGAGCUCAUGACUAAAAUAUAAACUUGAGUGUGUCAGCGCCAUCUUUAGGUCAAAUGAGUGUCAGUGGGUGGAAUUAGCAACCCACUUGCCAUUUUUGGUGACUUUGCUGAGCCAACACUUUUAGCAGAGGCAAACAAAAAGACAGAAAAAAAGAAAAAAGACAGAAUAAUGAGAACAAAGACAACAGGGCUCCAGCAGCAAGCAUCACUGCUUGGACUCCUGACAAGACAUAUUUUGGUUGGCUGAGGAAGCACUUAAUUUAGGAUCUACAGCAGGGGUGUUGAACACAUGGCCCGUGGGCCAGAACCAGCCCGCCAAAGGGUCCAAUCCGGCCCACUAGCUGACUAAACUAAGGGGUGUCAGGUUUCAGGAGCAAGUUAAACAAUGCCUACUUCAGGUAAACUUCUGCUCUCUGAUAUAACAAUGAAUACUUACUGUGACCGUGUUUAAAGUUACUGAACAUUGUGCAAAAUAUUGUCAACCAGCAGCUUCAGUUCAAAAUAAUCUGUAUCAAGAAAUGUGUGGAUAAUGUGUGUGUCUGUACCACACACUCUGACCAAGCUGCCAUAUUUGACGCUUGGGGAUGAGAACAGGCUGGUCCUUCACUGCAGGGCACAGAGAGUGUGUCCUCGCACGUUGUUUUACAGACACUGUUUUUUUGGGUUUUUUUUUCUAUUUGCUGAGUCACUGAUUAUCAGAUAACCUCUCAUUCUGAUCCAGGAUCUGCUACAGAACUUGUUCACAGAUAAGAGCCGCUCUUGUAUCUGAUCCAACCAGAGGACACGUGGAGAAAACGUCUGCUGAGGCAAGAAGGGAAGAUCAAUAUUAAGCAGCAGCAUGUUAAUGACUUUAACUUGGUUGCAUUGCAACUCUUAUAUAUGGCAUUACAGAUUUUAAGGACACCAGAGCUUAUGUGAUGAAUCCACACAUCCAAGCACUCCCCAUCAGAGUAAGAAUUACAACAGGAAACCUGAUAUCAUUUGGACAAUCUGAGUUAUGUGUUUUCCAGUCUGAGAUACACACUGAGGAAUAUGUUGAAUGUGGCAGCUGCUUUGUGCCAUCGGACUUUGGUUUAUUUUCCUAAUAACAAAACAAGAUGAGCCAAUAUUUAAGCGAGUACAAACAUGCCUGUAAUGAGUAUCUAAAUACUUUGUAUUUCACACAGGAAAAAAAAGGGUUGUAAAAUCUUAAUUAUUUAGCAUAUUUUUAAAGAUAUAUGUGGCUCACUCUCAAUGGCUUUCAUUACCAGGGAGACCAUUAGGCUGUCGUUAAAUGAAGUAAAAUGGACCUUUUCCUUCUUUAAUUAUUUAGCUCGGUUUUAAUAUUAAGGAAUGAUGCUUUCAUGUUUUUGAAACAAUUAUACAGUUUAUAUUAUAGGGCUUGUUAAUGGUUUGUGCAGUUUUGUGACUUAUUUGCUUCUGCAUCUUCAUUUUUCAACAUUGUUUUUUUACACUCUGCAUGAUUUGCCCAGGAAGCUCAUUUCAGAUGAGAUAAAACAGUGUGUAAUAGUCUCAUUUGGCCAACUGAGGGCACUAUGUAGCCACUGCUCUUAUAGCUGGAAGGCGAUACGCCACAGGAGGAAUGAUUAUGUAUACAUAUUUGUUCUCAAACUGCAGCACCAAUUGCCAAAUAUUUUGGAAGUUAAAGAGGAAGACAUGUGCCUCCCUGUUUGUCUGUCUUCCCUCUCAUUUUUACUCUUCUCUUGCAAUUAUCUCUCCAAUAUUUCCCAACUCUCAAACUUUUCUUUUUCUUGUGCCUCCCUUUAUCUCUGUUCCUUUCUUUCUUUCCUCAGCCUCUCUCAGGUACAUUUGCUUUCCUCUCAGGGCCGUCUUCCUCAAGCAGUAAGGCCAGGUGGUGUUGUGCACGUUCCUGCCACCUGUUGCUUCGUCCUCAGCGUCACACCGUGUCCAUGAUGCUGCUUUGGUCCCUCCUCCCUCUGGAUGAAGAUCAUCAGUUAGGCCCUGUCUACAUGUAUACAGAUCUAUCUUCCCCAUCAGUUUUAAAAAUAAUUCUGUCCACUCAAGCUUUGUUUUCCAAAAUAUCGCUGUCCACACGAGAACGCAAAAUCGACUCCAAACCUUUGUCGGUGGUAGCUAUUGUCAGCAGCCUAACUCAUCACAAAAGUGUACAAGCUAAUGUCACCUUUUUGGAACACCAACUUGUAUCAUGAUGAAGGAGCUCUGGACAUGCAAAAGUUUUCCCUCCAUUCCUCAAUGACAACAAUCCCAACCUGGAAAGAGUCCCACCAUCUGCUGAUUCAACCAGACCUGAUCCAAAACCAUAAUCUCUGGCUGACUUAAAACUGCGGAAGCUGAGGUGGAGCAAAAUCACUGGGUGCAGCAGAUGGCUCCGUUCGUCCGUGAAGUGGUGCAGCAAUACAGAGCUUAAGUGUAAAGUAGUUAUUGGACCAAGAAGUGCUAACCAAAUGAUAACAAACCGAGAUGCUUAGUACACAAAUCAACAAUGGGCAUGCGCAAAUAAGGGUGAUUAUGUCACUGAUUCCCAAGCGCUCUGUUUUACAUAACGCACAGAUAAAUGGCAACUGCAGUUUUGAAAAAUCUGCCCCUUAAAAUCUCCAUUUUAGUGACCCAAAACUCUUUUUACGUGUGUGUAGAGGAAAAUACCUGUUUACAAAAAUAUCUGUAUAUGUGAAAAGGCCUAAGUCUGCACGACCUUUAAUUGCAGUACAGUACAGAGUAUUUUACAUACAAUACAGCUCAUUGGUCACCUUUAUUUGCACAUUUAGAUUUUUAUCUCUUCAUUGUUCUUCACUCUAACAGGGAAUCGUUACUCCAAAUGCAGUUUCCCUUUAAUCAGAAAUGCUUAACAAAGAGUAAACAACAAAGUUAGCACAUGGUUUGGUUUAACUGACUUGGAACAUAUGGCAGCACAACAUUUAACAAGCCCGUGUCACCAUUAGUUAAAAUGUCCUGUCCCUGGGGGAAUGAAGUUAAUUCAAGAGUGAAUUUCGCAAUGUUCAUGAGAACAAGGGAGAAAACAUCCUGUAUCAGCAGCAUACUGUGCUUUCCUAAUCCUCUGUGAUUCAGUAAUGACACUCAGGACAUACCAUUCAUUUAUCUCUAACAUUAUGUGUAGUCAAUUAGAUUUAAAGGGAUAAGGAGGGAAAACUAAAACCGAUCAACCAGCAUGAAGGCCACCAAUUAGUUGAAUUUUUCAAUAAGAUCCCCCAUACAGCCGUUAAAUCUCGA